rnacentral:tRNA from 2 species
CGGGGUGUGGCGCAACUGACUUAAGGUGGCGCAUCAGGUUAUAGACCUGAAGGUUGGGGGUUCGAAUCCCUCCACCCCGACCA